rnacentral:rRNA from 1 species
AGUUCGGAUUGGAGGCUGAAACUCGCCUCCAUGAAGUUGGAUUCGCUAGUAAUCGCGCAUCAGCCAUGGCGCGGUGAAUACGUUCCCGGGCCUUGUACACACCGCCCGUCAAGCCAUGGGAGUUGGGGGUGCCUGAAGUACGUGACCGCAAGGAGCGUCCUAGGGCAAAACCGAUGACUGGGGCUAAGUCGUAACAAGGUAGC